AGGGUGUAAACGCUGCAGACUUGGUGUUGGAAGCCCUUUGGGGGCAUUCAGUGCCGGAGAGAAGUUGUUAAGUCUGCUACUUGGGGAGUACGUCCGCAAGGAUGAAACUUAAAGGAAUUGGCGGGGGAGCACCGCAACGGGAGGAGCGUGCGGUUUAAUUGGAUUCAACGCCGAAAAACUCACCAGCAGCGACUGUUACAUGAAAGUCAGGUUGAUGACCUUACUAGAUUUUCAGAGAGGUGGUGCAUGGCGUAGACGUCU
rnacentral:rRNA from 1 species